UACAGAGGUCUCAAGCGUUGUUCGGAAUUACUGGGCGUAAAGGGCGCGUAGGUGGCCUUCUUAGUCAGACGUGAAAUCCCCAGGCUUAACCUGGGAACUGCAUCCGAUACUGGAUGGCUUGAAUUCGGGAGAGGGAUGCAGAAUUCCAGGUGUAGCGGUGAAAUGCGUAGAUAUCUGGAGGAACACCGAUGGCGAAGGCAGCUCGCUGGGACGGUACUGACGCUGAGGCGCGAAAGCGUGGGGAGCAAACAGG
rnacentral:rRNA from 1 species